rnacentral:rRNA from 1 species
AUUGAACGCUAGCGGGAUGCCUUACACAUGCAAGUCGAACGGAGUGGCGACCGGGUGAGUAAUGUAUCGGAACGUGCCCAGUAGCGGGGGAUAACUACGCGAAAGCGUAGCUAAUACCGCAUAAUCUUGGCGCGGCCGAUAUCGGAUUAGCUAGUUGGUGGGGUAACGGCUCACCAAGUCGACGACCCGUAGCUGGUUUGAGCGGACUCCCAGCCACACGGGGACUGAGACACGGCCCAGACUCCUACGGGAGGAAGCAGUGGGGAAUUUUGGACAAUGGGGGAAACCCUGAUCCAGCCAUCCCGCGUGUGCGAUGAAGGCCUUCGGGUUGUAAAGCACUGUUGGCAGGAAAGCGGUACCUGCAGAAUAAGCACCGGCUAACUACGUGCCAGCAGCCGCGGUAAUAC